AGUUUUUUUUUCCAAAUACAGAGAAAUAUGUUUCAUUACUCAUUGAAGAUGAUGACGCUGAAGUUGUAGAGAAAAGAAAUAAGGAUAAUCUAAUUAGCGUUGCAUCAAGUGAAAAGGAUUUGGAACGUACCCCUUUUUAUUUUUUGGUUUACUUACCGGACCAAGUUUAAGAAGAGGAAAUUUAUAGGACCGGAGAUUGCUAUUAAGGUCAUUCUAAAAGCGAGGUAUAAAAAUGGCUUCGAUGUCUAAGAAAAAUAAAAGACGAAGAGAAGUGUACAAUGACAGUGCGAAAUUGGAUAUUGACAUACAGACGCCGAAGAGAAAGUCUCUACGUUUUGUCCAGCUGGAAGCUGCUGGUGUCACCGGUUCAGAUUCAAUUUCUCUCUUUCCUAAUUCUGAAAUUGAAGACAAUCAAG